AAACUCAAAGGAAUUGACGGGGGCCCGCACAAGCGGUGGAGCAUGUGGUUUAAUUCGAUGAUACGCGAGGAACCUUACCUGGGCUCAAAUGUAUGUUGACGUAUUCUGAAAGGGAUACUUCUUCGGACAAUAUACAAGGUGCUGCAUGGUUGUCGUCAGCUCGUGCCGUGAGGUGUCGGGUUAAGUCCCAUAACGAGCGCAACCCCUAUCAUUAGUUGCCAUCAGGUCAAGCUGGGGACUCUAAUGAAACUGCCUACGCAAGUAGUGAGGAAGGUGGGGAUGACGUCAAAUCAGCACGGCCCUUACGUCCAGGGCUACACACGUGCUACAAUGGCCGGCACAGACGGCAGCUUAGUGGCGACACUUGGCAAAUCCUCUAAAGCCGGUCCCAGUUCGGAUUGCAGUCUGCAACUCGACUGCAUGAAGCCGGAAUCGCUAGUAAUCGCAGAUCAGCCAAGCUGCGGUGAAUACGUUCCCGGGCCUU
rnacentral:rRNA from 1 species